AUGGCGCUGCAUACGGUGUCGUCGGUUUCUCAAGUGUUGCGUCUCUCCGAUACAUUCUCUCCGACGAUCGGUAACCGUCACUUGCUCGUUGACUUUGCGCCUUUCCGCCGCAAAUCGAAGAGGUAUAGCCGCAGAUUGACGCCAUUUGUUACUCCUGCUAGCCUCCGUCGUAGCCCCGUCAAAUCGGUUCUCGAGCUUGAUAAACAGCUCAAUCCCGCUCCUCCUCCUUCUUCUUCUUCAACUUCCGAGUUGAAACCGCAGGUUGCAAAUAUGGAGGAUAUACUAUCAGAAAGAGGAGCCUGCGGUGUUGGUUUCAUUGCCAAUUUGGAAAAUAAAGCAUCAUAUGAGAUUCUCAAGGAUGCUUUAAAUGCUUUAAGCUGUAUGGAACAUCGUGGGG